rnacentral:rRNA from 1 species
CCUACGGGGGGCAGCAGUGAGGAAUAUUGGUCAAUGGACGAGAGUCUGAACCAGCCAAGUAGCGUGAAGGAUGACUGCCCUAUGGGUUGUAAACUUCUUUUAUAUGGGAAUAAAAUGUUCCACGUGUGGGAUUUUGUAUGUACCAUAUGAAUAAGGAUCGGCUAACUCCGUGCCAGCAGCCGCGGUAAUACGGAGGAUCCGAGCGUUAUCCGGAUUUAUUGGGUUUAAAGGGAGCGUAGGUGGAUUGUUAAGUCAGUUGUGAAAGUUUGCGGCUCAACCGUAAGAUUGCAGUUGAAACGGGCAGUCUUGAGUACAGUAGAGGUGGGCGGAAUUCGUGGUGUAGCGGUGAAAUGCUUAGAUAUCACGAAGAACUCCGAUUGCGAAGGCAGUUCACUGGACUGCAACUGACACUGAGGCUCGAAAGUGUGGGUAUCAAACAGGAUUAGAUACCCCAGUAGUC